AAAAGCCGUAUGCCGUAAUAUGGCACGUACGGUUUUGGAGAGGAGUUGGGCCGUAAGGUUCCGCUUACUCGAC
rfam:Halobacteroidaceae bacterium T328-2 scaffold_551, whole genome shotgun sequence.